UUGCUUUGGCACUACAUAUGCUUCAGUUGGAAUGAUACAGUGAAGAUUAGGAUGACGUUGCAUGCGAGGAUGACCUGCAAAUUUGUGAAAUAUUCCAUAUUUUA